UGAUCUUAUGUCUAUACUGCUUUUGAUCUGCAGCUAGUGACAGAUGUGAAAGAGAAGCUUGAAAAAUAUCAUCCUAUUCUUCCUGUGGGAAAAAAUGGAAGAGAUGAUGAAGACAUGAUCCGCUGGUUUUUGAAGGAUCGGAAAUUUUCUGUUGAAGAUACUGUCUCGAAAUUGGCUAAAGCUAUUAAAUGGCGUCAAGAAUUUGGUGUGUCAGAAUUGUCUGAAGAAUCGGUGAGAAGUGUAGCUGAAACUGGAAAAGGCUUUGUGCAUGACUUUCUCGAUGUCCAUGGUAGACCUGUGCUAAUUGUGGUGGCAUCCAAGCAUUUUCCUGCA